GUCAGGAUGGCCGAGCGGUCUAAGGCGCCAGACUCAAGGGUACCCUUGCCUAGUAUAUAGGUGUGUGAGCGUUCUGGUCCUCUCUGAGGGCGUGGGUUCGAAUCCCACUUCUGACA
rnacentral:tRNA from 1 species